rnacentral:rRNA from 1 species
AUUGAACGCUGGCGGCAGGCUUAACACAUGCAAGUCGAGCGAGCGGCGGACGGGUGAGUAAUGUCUGGGAAACUGCCUGAUGGAGGGGGAUAACUCCUGGAAACGGUAGCUAAUACCGCAUACCAUCAGAUGUGCCCAGAUGGGAUUGGCUAGUAGGUGGGGUAAUGGCUUACCUAGGCGACGAUCCCUAGCUGGUCUGAGAGGAUGACCAGCCACACGGGAACUGAGACACGGUCCAGACUCCCACGGGAGGCAGCGGGGGGGCAUAGUGGAGUAUGGGCGCAAGCCUGAUGCAGCCAUGCCGCGUGUGUGAAGAAGGCCUUCGGGUUGUAAAGCACUUGCAGCGAGGAGGCGGUACUCGCAGAAGAAGCACCGGCUAACUCCGUGCCAGCAGCCGCGGUAAUAC